rnacentral:rRNA from 1 species
AUUGAACGCUGGCGGCCGGCCUAACACAUGCAAGUCGAACGAGUGGCGGACGGGUGAGUAAUGUCUGGGAAACUGCCUGAUGGAGGGGGAUAACUACUGGAAACGGUAGCUAAUACCGCAUACCAUCGGAUGUGCCCAGAUGGGAUUAGCUAGUAGGUGGGGUAAAGGCUCACCUAGGCGACGAUCCCUAGCUGGUCUGAGAGGAUGACCAGCCACACUGGAACUGAGACGCGGUCCAGACUCCUACGGGAGGCAGCAGUGGGGAAUAUUGCACAAUGGGAGAAAGCCUGAUACAGCCAUGCCGCGUGUAUGGAGAAGGCCGUCGGGUUGUAAAGUACUUUCAGCGGGGAGGCGUUACCCACAGAAGAGGCACCGGCUAACUCCGUGCCAGCAGGCGCGGUAAUUG